UACGUAGGGUGCAAGCGUUAAUCGGAAUUACUGGGCGUAAAGCGUGCGCAGGCGGUUGUGCAAGACAGAUGUGAAAUCCCCGGGCUCAACCUGGGAAUUGCAUUUGUGACUGCACGGCUAGAGUGUGUCAGAGGGGGGUAGAAUUCCACGUGUAGCAGUGAAAUGCAUAGAGAUGUGGAGGAAUACCGAUGGCGAAGGCAGCCCCCUGGGAUAACACUGGCGCUCAUGCACGAAAGCGUGGGGAGCAAACAGG
rnacentral:rRNA from 1 species